CGGACGGGUGAGUAAUGUCUGGGAAACUGCCUGAUGGAGGGGGAUAACCACUGGAAACGGUAGCUAAUACCGCAUAACGUCGCAAGACCAAAGAGGGGGACCUUCGGGCCCCUUGCCAUCGGAUGUGCCCAGAUGGGAUUAGCUAGUAGGUGGGGUAACGGCUCACCUAGGCGACGAUCCCUAGCUGGUCUGAGAGGAUGACCAGCCACACUGGAACUGAGACACGGUCCAG
rnacentral:rRNA from 1 species